AGAUAUUCCAACACAUGUUCUGUAAUUUCCAUGCUGUGUGGUCCUAAUUGGGCUAUAAAGACAAAUCUAGCUCCUUUAUGUUUAAGGUCCAUAAGAGCAGGAAGGUGUUACCAGAGAGUGGCCUGGAACAUUUUGUGUUUGACUUGGAGAUCAAGAUGCAGCCCAGCAAGCUGAGCAACAGUUGACAAGUGCAAACAUCCCCGCUCACUCACAGGCCACCGAGUGAGGCCUUCACAUGGGUCUACCCUGUGGGAUGAUCAGGGUGCACUCAGGACAAAUCUGCCACGUCGCGUGCUUGGCAUCUGGGAUGGAAAUGUUUGACAUCUACUGUUGGUGGCAAUUUUGCCACAUGUAGGACUAGUACAAAGUGUGAUGAGAUGUUUUGGUGUGUGGAGUGAUUGA